rnacentral:rRNA from 1 species
GAUGAACGCUGGCGGCGUGCCUAAUAUAUGCAAGUCGAGCGAACGGACGAGGCGCUUGCUUCUCUCAUGUUAGCGGCGGACGGGUGAGUAACAUGUGGAUAAUCCCCCUAUAAGACUGGGAUAACUUCGGGAAACCGGCGCUAAUCCCGGAUUAUAUUUUGAACCGUAUUGUUCAAAAGUGAAAGACGGUCUUUCUGUCUCUUAUAGAUGGAUCCGCGCUGCAUUAGCUAGUUGGUAAGGUAACGGCUUACCAAGGCAACGAUGCAUAGCCGACCUGAGAGGGUGAUCGGCCACACUGGAACUGAGACACGGUCCAGACUCCUACGGGAGGCAGCAGUAGGGAAUCUUCCGCAAUGGGCGAAAGCCUGACGGAGCAACGCCGCGUGAGUGAUGAAGGUCUUCGGAUCGUAAAACUCUGUUAUUAGGGAAGAACAUAUGUGUAAGUAACUGUGCACGUCUUGACGGUACCUAAUCAGAAAGCCACGGCUAACUACGUG